rnacentral:lncRNA from 10 species
GCAGUGGUGCUAUCUUGGCUCACUGCAACCUCCACCUUCUGGGUUCAAGCAAUUCUCCUGCCUUAGCCUCCCGAGUAGCUGGGACUACAGGCACAUGCUGACAUGCCCAGCUAAUUUUUUGUAUUUUAUUAGAGACAGGGUUUCACCGUGUUACCCAGGCUGUUCUUGAACUCCUGAACUCAGGCAAUCCACCCAUCUCGGCCUCCCAAAGUACUAGGAUUACAGGCGUGAGCCACUGUCCCUGGCUGGAAGUCAUUAAAUCUUAAACCUCCAAAAUAAUCUCCUUUGACUCCAUGUCUCACAUCCAGGGCAUGCUGAUGCAAGAGGUGGGCUCCCAAGGCCUUGGGAAGUUUUGCCUCUGUGGCUCUGCAGGGUACAGCCCCCAUAGCUGCUUUCAUGGGCUGGCAUUGAGUGCCUGUGGCUUUUCUGGGCACAUGGUGCAAGCUGUCAGUGGAUGUACCAUUCUGGGGUUUGGAGGACGGUGGCCCUCUUCUCAUGGUUCCACUAGGCAGUGCCCUGGUGGGGACUCUGUGUCAGGGCUCCAAUCCCACACUUCCCCGCUGCACUGCCCAUGAGGGCUCUGCCCCUGCAGCUGACUUCUGCCUGGACAUCCAGGCAUUUCCAUACAUCCUCUGAAAUCUAGGUGGAGAUUCCAAAACCUCAACUCUUGCCAUCUGCACACCUGCAGGCCCAACAUCACAUGGAAGCUGCCAAAGACUUGGGGCUUGCAAUCUCUGAAGCAAUGGCCCGAGCUGUACCUUGGCCCCUUUUAGCCAUGGCUAGAGCUGGAGUGGCUGGGAUCCAGGGCAUCACGUCCCAAGGCUGCACAGAGCUGCUGGGGCCUGGGCCUGGGCCAUGAAACCAUUUUUUCCUUCUAGGUCUCUGGGCUUGUGAUGGGAGGGGCUGCCUCAGUGGUCUCUGAAAUGCCCAGGAGACAUUUUCCCCAUUGUCUUGGCUAUUUAACUCUUCUUUACUUAUGCAAACUUCUGCAGCAGGCUUGAAUUUCUCCCCAGAAAAUGGAUUUUUCUUUUCUACCACAUGGCCAGGCUGCAAAUUUUCUAAACUUAUAUGCUGUACUUCCCUUUUAAAUGUAAGUUCCAGUUUCAGAUCAUCUCUUUGUUCAUGCAUAUGAGCAUACACUUUUAGAAACAGCCAGUUUACCUCCUGAAUGCUUUGCUGCUUAGAAAUUUCUUCCAGCAGAUACCCUAAAUCAUCUCUCUCAAGUUCAAAGUUCCACAGAUCUCUAGGGCAGGGGAAAAAAUGCUACCAGUAUCUUUGCUAAAGCAUAGCAAGAGUGACCUUUACUCUAGUUCUCAAUAAGUUCCUCAUCUCCAUCUGAGACCACUUGAGUCUGGACUUCAUUGUCCAUAUCACUAUCAGCAUUCUCAUCAAAACAAUUCAACAAAUCUUCAUGAAGUUCCAAACUUUCCCACGUCUUCCUGUCUUCUUCUGAGCUUUCCGAACUGUUCCAACCUCUGCCUGUUACCCAGUUCCAAAGUUGCUUCCACAUUUUCAGAUAUCUUUAUAGCUGUUAUAAAUAAUUUUCUGUAUAGUCCAUUUUCACACUGCUAUAAAGAGCUGCCUGAGACUGAGUAAUUUGUGAAGAAAAGAGGUUUAAUUCACUCACAGUUCUGCAGGCUUAACAGGAAGCAUGGCUGGAAAGCCUCAGGAAACUUACAAUCAUGGCAGAACUUAAAGGGGAAGCAAGCGUGUCUUACCAUGGCAGAGCAGGAGAGAGAAAGAGUGAAGGGGAAGUGCCACACACUUUCAAACAACCAGAUCGCAUGAGAAUUCACUCACAGUCAAGAACAGCAAUGGGGAAGUCCAUGCCCAUGAUUCAAUCACCUCUCACCAGACCCCUCCCCUGACAUGUGGGGAUUAAAAUUCAAGAUGAGAUUUGGGUGGGGAUGCAGAGCCAAACCAUAUCACAUGGUCAACACAAGCUUCUUGGUGAUGCCCCAAACUUCAGAACCAGUUAAAGGUUUACCAUCAGCCAGAAGAGCUGUGGGAAUGAGCCUCCCAGAAAGAAGAGAUGGAAGGUGUUUGGCAUCUGCAGUGAUGAUGAUGAUGAUGAUCAUGAUCAUGAUCAUGAUGCUGGCUAAAUGCCGACUCUGAGCCCUGCAUGAUGGUAAGCAGUGUCUAUGGAUUGGCUCUUUAAUCCUCAUAACAAUGUCUAUCUAAUGUCUAUCUAGAGGUAGAUAUUAAGAUAAUGCCUAUUUUUCAAAUGAAGAAACUGAGCCUCCAAGAGAUUAAGUAACUGGCUCAAGGUCACACAGUUGGUAAAUUGAAACAUGAGUGCUUACAUGGAUGUUUUCCAGGGAUUGAGGCCGCAUUAACUGGUGGGGAGAGAAAUGAAGAGCCCAGCACAAGGGGUGGACUGAUGGGAGCAUGUUUGGGCUAGUGGGAAUAAUAAUAAAAAAUAAUAGUCAGCACUUAUUGAAUGCUUACUAAGUGGCUGGCAUUGUUCUAAGCACUUUUACAUGCAUUAACUCGAGGUGAAAUAAAACCCAAAUACACAGAACUGGCAAAUGAGGGUCCAUGCUUGAGGGUUUGGAAAGACUUGGAAAUACCCUUUGGGCACAUCAAGCAGGCAAAAAAAAAAAAAAAAAAAAAAAAAAAUCAGCUGCAUUUUGGAAGCUUCCUCUGAUCAAAGAUACCCAUUCAUCCAACAUUUAUUUAUGAAAUGCCUGUUGUUUCCCAGGCAUUGUUCUAGGCACUGAGAACAGGACAGAUUCCAGGAGAAGGAGAAGUCCAGGAACACAAAAAGAUAGAAAGAAAUACUCAGAAGUGCCAUAUUUUUUACCUUUUCAUUGAUACUACCAGAAAAGGGAAAAAAUAAAUACUGUUUGAUUUUGCCACCAGGCACCACAAAACUGCGCCCCUGCCUGAUUUCAUUUCAGCAAGCUUUACUGUGAAGUGUUUAUGUGCCAGGUACCAUGUGUAGAAGCGCUGGCCCAGAGAUGAAGAUGAAGUUUCUAUCCUUAAGGCAUGCAAUGUGGGAGAUGAACAGAGACAGGCAAGAGAGCCACAGAAGAGAAAGUGAUGUGAAGACAGAAGCAGGGAUUGGAGUGAUCCAUCUACAAGCCAAGAAAUACCAAUGGUUGCUGCCAGCCACCAGGAUCUAGGAGAGUGGCAUGGAACAGAUUUUCCCUUAGAGCUUCCAGAAAGAACUAACCCUGUCAACACUGUGAUUCUGGACAGUGAGAGAGAAAUUUCUAUUGUUUUAAGCCAUCAAGUUUGUGGUAAUUUGUUAUGGCAACCGUAGGAAACAUCACCCAGUAAAUCCAAAUUAAAUAUUAUCCCAAUUUUUGCUUGAUACCAGAAAUGGCUGUAGUGUUUCAACACCCUCUAGCAUAAGAGAAUUGUAACAGGGGAAGCUGGUGUGGAAACAGACAGCAGUCUGAACCAGUUUGGACAAAAAUACUGGUCUUGCAAAUUUUAGAAAAAGCACACAACCUCUGAACACAUGACUAGGGCCCCUUCCAGGAACUUAGAAGGGGCCCGGCCGAGGGAGAGUCCCUGAAGCUUAUGUUUAAUACAUUUUACAGAAGAGCUGCCUCGGUGUAGGAAGCAGUGUAGUGUUGCGAAGACAAGCUCUGGAGCCAGACACCCUGGGUUCAAAUCCCAAUUUCGCAACUGUCUAGCUGUUGACUUGAGAGAAGUUACUUAGCCUUUCUGCGCCCCAAUUUCUUCCUUCGUAAAAUAUAAAUGGCAGUAGCACUAUCUGCCUCAUAGGGUUGUUUACCUGGUGAAGUAACAUGAUACACAUAAGGCAC